rnacentral:misc_RNA from 1 species
GUGAAUCAUCAAAUUUUUGAACGCAAAUUGCACUCUCUUCGGAGAGUAUGCCUGGUUGAGGGUCAGCCUUAAUAAAAAUCGCUGUGUUGCUUCUUUGUGACGCUCCGGGGCUUGGGUCAUCUUAAUAUCCUUUUGGUUUUAUGAGGCUUAAAAUUGUCUUUUUUUUCGCUUUUUAGAUGUACAUAAAUUCUUUUUUUAUUCGCCUGUCUUAUUGCUCUUUUUCUUAUUAGAUGCGAUCAUAUCGUGUGGUUUCCUGUCUAUAAA